CUUAAUUAAACCUUUUCGAUUUUUUUGACCUACUUUUAAAUCCUAUAAUUUCUAUAAAAAUUAACAAAGCAUUUCAAGGAAAUAUUAAUAAACUCUGUGUUAUUUGAAAUUUAAUUUAGUUUCAUAACUAUUUUUAUACAACCAUACAAAAGAUAAUUAAUAUAAAUAAAACUGUGGAUUGUCAUGAUCUCAAAAUUCUCUAAUUGGAAAUAAUUAACUGCCAUUUAAUUUAAGUUUUUUAAUACUACUUUAAUAAUAUUUAACAUAAUUGGAUACUAACCCAGGUUUGUAAUUUUUUUUUUAAUUUUUUUAGUAUUAUAUUUAUUUCUUUAAACAGAGAAUUAUUAUACUUAAAAUUAAUUAUAAAAUUUAAUUCAAAUUUAAAGUA
rnacentral:rRNA from 1 species